CUUGCUCUGUUGCCCGGGCUGGUCUUGAACUCCUGGCCUCAAGCAAUCCUUUACCUUUGGCCUACCUCAGUGCUGGGAUUUUGGGCUUGAGCCAAGUUGCUCAGCCCAUUUCUGUUUCUUUAGAAAGAAAAACACGGAACUGAUUGCCCUGUGCAGAAGUGGGUCUCCAUCACGAUUUGCCUGUGAGUCACGCUGGGAGAGGGAGAGCACCUGCUGCAUCUCUGGGUCCACAUGGCAUGGCUGGGUCAAUGCUUUGGACACCAGCAGUGAGUGGGGAGGCUGCUGUGGGGACUUGGGGUCCCGCUUAAUCAUCUUUCUAUUCACCAGUGCAGGGUGAUUGAGGACAACUGACUUCAUCCUUCUGAAUCAGGUUGAGAAGGACCUGCAGCAUUGGUUGAGGAUUGAAUAAGGACCCCGCUGGCUGCUGUGUGGGGGACAAGGGCCAGGGAGGAGGCCGCUGCAAGAAUCCAAGAGAGAGAUGAUGGCGGCUCAGACCGGCGCAGUGGCAGUGGAGAGGCUGAGAAGUGGUUGAACUUGGGAUACGUUUCCAAGGCAGAGCCAACAGGAUUUCCGGCCGGAUUGGAUGUGGGGUGUGAGAAAAAGUGAGGAGGCAAGGAUGACGUCAAGCGUUUUGGCCUGAGCAGCUGGAAAUCCAGCUGGGCACCCCCGUGGGGGCUGAAAAACAAAGAGUGGAAGGUGAGACUGCUGGUGAGAAAAGGGGCAGGAGACUUGAGGGAACAAGAAGGGUUCAAAUGGAGGAGCAGGUCCGGGGGAACUCAGCAGAGAGUGAAUCGGCUGACUGAUCCGUCUGUUUCUUCUGCAAACAUUCCCAGCUCCUCGUCUGUGCCAGGUGCUGGGGCAGGGGCUGGAGACUGUGUUAUGAACAAACAGCCCUGAGACCCACAGGUGGCCU